AAGCGUUGUUCGGAAUUACUGGGCGUAAAGGGUUCGUAGGUGGCCUACUAAGUCAUACGUGAAAUCCCUCAGCUUAACUGGGGAACUGCGUCUGAGACUGGAAGGCUUGAGUGCAGGAGAGGAACGCGGAAUUCCAGGUGUAGCGGUGAAAUGCGUAGAUAUCUGGAGGAACACCGGUGGCGAAGGCGGCGUUCUGGACUGCAACUGACACUGAGGAACGAAAGCCAGGGGAGCAAACGGG
rnacentral:rRNA from 1 species